rnacentral:rRNA from 1 species
GAUGAACGCUGGCGGCGUGCCUAAUACAUGCAAGUCGAGCGAACAGACGAGGAGCUUGCUCCUCUGACGUUAGCGGCGGACGGGUGAGUCACACGUGGAUAACCUACCUAUAAGACUGGGAUAACUUCGGGAAACCGGAGCUAAUACCGGAUAAUAUAUUGAACCGCAUGGUUCAAUAGUGAAAGACGGUUUUGCUGUCACUUAUAGAUGGUUCCGCGCCGCAUUAGCUAGUUGGUAAGGUAACGGCUUACCAAGGCAACGAUGCGUAGCCGACCUGAGAGGGUGAUCGGCCACACUGGAACUGAGACACGGUCCAGACUCCUACGGGAGGCAGCAGUAGGGAAUCUUCCGCAAAGGGCGAAAGCCUGACGGAGCAACGCCGCGUGAGUGAUGAAGGUCUUCGGAUCGUAAAGCUCUGUUAUUAGGGAAGAACAAAUGUGUAAGUAACUAUGCACGUCUUGACGGUACCUAAUCAGAAAGCCACGGCUAACUACGUG